rnacentral:piRNA from 1 species
UAGGGCUCUAAUGUAGACUGGUCA